AACGUAGGAGACAAACGUUAUCCGGAGUUACUGGGCGUAAAGGGCGUGUAGGUGGUUAUGUAAGUCUGGCGUGAAAUUUUUCGGCUUAACCGGGAAAGGUCGUCGGAUACUGCAAGACUAGAGGACGGUAGAGGCGUGUGGAAUUCCGGGUGUAGUGGUGAAAUGCGUAGAGAUCCGGAGGAACACCAGUGGCGAAGGCGGGUCUCUGGACAGUUCCUGACGCUGAGGCACGAAGGUCAGGGGAGCAAACGGG
rnacentral:rRNA from 1 species